CCUACGGGAGGCAGCAGUGGGGAAUAUUGGACAAUGGGCGAAAGCCUGAUCCAGCAAUGCCGCGUGAGUGAUGAAGGCCUUAGGGUUGUAAAGCUCUUUUACCCGGGAUGAUAAUGACAGUACCGGGAGAAUAAGCUCCGGCUAACUCCGUGCCAGCAGCCGCGGUAAUACGGAGGGAGCUAGCGUUGUUCGGAAUUACUGGGCGUAAAGCGUACGUAGGCGGUUAUUCAAGUCAGAGGUGAAAGCCUGGGGCUCAACUCCAGAACUGCCUUUGAAACUAGAUAGCUAGAAUCAUGGGGAGGUCAGUGGAAUUCCGAGUGUAGAGGUGAAAUUCGUAGAUAUUCGGAAGAACACCAGUGGCGAAGGCGACUGACUGGACAUGUAUUGACGCUGAGGUACGAAAGCGUGGGGAGCAAACAGGAUUAGAUACCCUGGUAGUCCACGCCGUAAACGAUAGAUAACUAGCUGUUCGGUACCUUUAAGGUUGAGUGGCGNAGCUACGACAUAAGUUAUCCGUCCGUCGGGUAGGUACGGUCGCGAGAAGUUAAACGUUAAAGUUAAGUAAGUUAGUAACGGUACGUGUUAGACGUAGACGAACGGACGACGACGAGGGAGGAGG
rnacentral:rRNA from 1 species